GAUGAACGCUGGCGGCGUGCUUAACACAUGCAAGUCGAACGGUGAAGGCGGAGCUUGCUCUGCUGGAUCAGUGGCGAACGGGUGAGUAACACGUGAGCAAUCUGCCCCUGACUCUGGGAUAAGCGCUGGAAACGGCGUCUAAUACUGGAUACGAGCUGCGAAGGCAUCUUCAGCAGCUGGAAAGAACUUCGGUCAGGGAUGAGCUCGCGGCCUAUCAGCUUGUUGGUGAGGUAACAGCUCACCAAGGCGUCGACGGGUAGCCGGCCUGAGAGGGUGACCGGCCACACUGGGACUGAGACACGGCCCAGACUCCUACGGGAGGCAGCAGUGGGGAAUAUUGCACAAUGGGCGAAAGCCUGAUGCAGCAACGCCGCGUGAGGGACGACGGCCUUCGGGUUGUAAACCUCUUUUAGCAGGGAAGAAGCGAAAGUGACGGUACCUGCAGAAAAAGCGCCGGCUAACUACGUG
rnacentral:rRNA from 1 species